UUCUCCUGGGAACUGUAGCUGGAGCAGCGAUACGGUUCUUUGAUCAUGCUAUUGGUGCGAAUGUUCCUCAAUCUUGGUUUCUUCCAGUGAAGGCAACAUCUGAUUUGCUUCUCGUCCAGUCGGAUCUUUAUACCUUGGCCGAUUGGUUUG